rnacentral:rRNA from 1 species
CACUCCUACGGGAGGCAGCAGUGGGGAAUAUUGCACAAUGGGCGCAAGCCUGAUGCAGCCAUGCCGCGUGUAUGAAGAAGGCCUUCGGGUUGUAAAGUACUUUCAGCGGGGAGGAAGGCGAUAAGGUUAAUAACCUUGUCGAUUGACGUUACCCGCAGAAGAAGCACCGGCUAACUCCGUGCCAGCAGCCGCGGUAAUACGGAGGGUGCAAGCGUUAAUCGGAAUUACUGGGCGUAAAGCGCACGCAGGCGGUCUGUCAAGUCGGAUGUGAAAUCCCCGGGCUCAACCUGGGAACUGCAUUCGAAACUGGCAGGCUAGAGUCUUGUAGAGGGGGGUAGAAUUCCAGGUGUAGCGGUGAAAUGCGUAGAGAUCUGGAGGAAUACCGGUGGCGAAGGCGGCCCCCUGGACAAAGACUGACGCUCAGGUGCGAAAGCGUGGGGAGCAAACAGGAUUAGAAACCCCUGUAGUCCCAUG